rnacentral:rRNA from 1 species
CUAAGAAUAUUCCGCAAUGGACGAAAGUCUGACGGAGCGACGCCGCGUGGAUGACGAAGGCCGAAAGGUUGUAAAAUCCUUUUGCUGAUGAAGAAUAAGCGUGGUAGGGAAUGACCGCGUGAUGACAUUAGUCGGUGAAUAAGCCCCGGCUAACUACGUGCCAGCAGCCGCGGUAACACGUAGGGGGCAAGCGUUGUUCGGAAUUAUUGGGCGUAAAGGGCAUGUAGGCGGUUUGGUAAGCCUGAUGUGAAAUCCUGCAGCUUAACUGCAGAACUGCAUUGGGUACUGCCGAACUUGAAUCACUGAGGGGAAACUAGAAUUCCAGGUGUAGGGGUGGAAUCGUGUAGAUAUCUGGAAGAAUACCGGUGGCGAAGGCGGGUUUCUAGCAGAUGAUUGACGC